UACGGAGGGGGCUAGCGUUGUUCGGAAUUACUGGGCGUCCAGCGCGCGUAGGCGGCUUUGUAAGUUAGAGGUGAAAGCCCAGGGCUCAACCCUGGAAUUGCCUUUAAGACUGCAUCGCUUGAACAUCGGAGAGGUAAGUGGAAUUCCGAGUGUAGAGGUGAAAUUCGUAGAUAUUCGGAAGAACACCAGUGGCGAAGGCGACUUACUGGACGAUUGUUGACGCUGAGGUGCGAAAGCGUGGGGAGCAAACAGG
rnacentral:rRNA from 1 species